rnacentral:tRNA from 1 species
UCCCUGGUGGCCCAGUGGUUAAGAUACUGUACUCCCAAUGCAGGGGACCCAGCUUCAAUCCCUGAUCAGGGAA